rnacentral:rRNA from 1 species
UACGGAGGGUGCAAGCGUUAUCCGGAUUCACUGGGUUUAAAGGGUGCGUAGGUGGGCAGGUAAGUCAGUGGUGAAAUCUCCGGGCUUAACCCGGAAACUGCCGUUGAUACUAUCUGUCUUGAAUACCGUGGAGGUGAGCGGAAUAUGUCAUGUAGCGGUGAAAUGCUUAGAUAUGACAUAGAACACCAAUUGCGAAGGCAGCUCACUACGCGAAUAUUGACACUGAGGCACGAAAGCGUGGGGAUCAAACAGG